UUUCCUGCCAGCCUAUUUUUGCCUCAGCAGUCAAUGGAAACAACUAUGUGUGUCCACAAUGCAAGGAAUGCUUUAGCUCCGUUGAUCAAACUUAAGAACUCACUGAUUCCCCAAGAAUAUAUUAGUGGAACUCCAGAGACCUCCAAUCUCCAGUCUAAGCAGUCCUGCUUUGGGCCAUUUGAUUUAUCAUACGUACAUAUCAGGAAUUUGCUGACAGUGAAAUGGAAGUUAAGGAUACAAGGAAGAUAGAGCGUAGCAUCAAAGGCAUCUGCCAACCCCUUCCCAGGUUACAGAGCUUGCACUGCGGCACGGAAAGAAUAUUCACGUCCUGACUUCAUAUUCUACCGGAGAAAGAAGGCCGCACGAGAAAUUCUCCUGCUGCUAACUGAAAGGAACUUUUCACCUUAUUAGAAUGUUUAAUGUCAAAACUUCAAAGAGAGAACCAACAGUCCCAUCUGAGCCCAGCCUGAGUCAGUUUCCCUCUAUCCCUGAAAUUUCAGUGUCUGAGAGGAAUCCGAGCAGAUGUGGCAUUACAUAAGAUCACCCAGGAAAUAAUGUGAUAUUCUGAAUGCCACUAAUGUUCCUUAAAAUGUUAUUUUUUAAAAAGAUCCUCAAGUUCCAAGAUAUCUUCCAAAAAAAGAGAAACUAGAGAAAGACCCAAGUAAAGCCAUUGUCAAUUCUUCUCCAUCUCAAUGGAGGUGUUGUUUUGCUCCACUCCGGAUGCACUGUUAUAAUUAACUGCAUGAUAUA